GUCCAGGGCAGACUGGCUGGCUCUGGUCUACUCUGGCAGAGUCCAGCAGCUCACUGGCACCAUCUGCUGGCCCAUUGGAAGGGUACAGCUGUGAAGGGAUAAAGGCAAGGAGCCCUGGAUUUGAGGAUGAAGGAACAGAAGUCCCUAGUUGGGGGUGCCAAGUGGCAGUCUCCAAGAGCGUUCAUACUAUAUUCUCUAUCCUGGGUUCUUGGAGCCAGGCACUCAUUUAUCACCUCGUCCUUCCUCUGUGGUCCAGCUCAGAGGCAACAGAAUCCCAAGGAGCCCUGCAUUCUGCUCACAUCUGACAUAAUGACAAAGGGGCUCCUCUUCCUGCCAAUGGCCAGUCCUUGCACGUGCUCUAGAUCCCAUCAUGCCCCUGUGAAGGACAGCAAAUUUAUUUAGUUAGUUAGUUUUUCCAGUACUGAGGGUCAAUCCCAAGGGUCCUUUACCACUGAGCUGUAUCCCUAACCCUUUUUAUUUUUUGAGACAAUCUCACUAAAUUGCCCAGACCUGACAACAAAUUUUUAUUGACUUCCUAAUGGAUUCGGGCCCUGUGCUGGACAAAGGGGACAGGGUGUCUUGCUGAAGACAAGAACAAAAAACAACUGGCUGUACCCAGUAGCAACUCUGGCUCUGGCCUCUCCUGUUGAGGCUUCCAGAGACUUAGAAAAUCAUUCAAGAUCUUGGACUCGACACUGGAUCCACCUGAACAUCCAAACUCAGGUAUACCUGAACUCAAAGUCUGUGCUCUUGAGAACUGUUAGUGUGGAGCUGUUUGCCACAUGCAUGGCCUCUUAGACUUCAUUCUAAGGGCAAAGGAGAGCUUGGGAUCAUCUUCAGCAAGACACCCUGUCCCAUUUGGCCAGAAUUUGGGGAAAGCAUGAAGACUGGAGGCCAGAAGUCUUAUUACUACAUCCACACGAGGGACAGGAACCAAGGUCUCAUUUAGAAACAGCCCAAGGUGUUCACAUACAUGCCAGGGCUGAGGCCAGAGGGAACUGAAUGCUUGUGGAUUCCAGCACUUCAUACAUGUGGCAUGGGAACCCUGGAGGAUGCCAACUUACCUCCGAAUGCCCUAGGUGUGAACUGAAACCCCCCAUUUUUUAGAGGUAUCCCAUCUAGGCUGAGCACCUUGAAAUCAGGCCCUUUAUUACCCAGGAGAAGACAGUAAGACACAAGAAGCCAGGAGUGUCAUUUGGGUUUUUAAACUGUGUCUGGCACCUCUGAAUUCUUUUCCUGUCCCCAGGAUUAAAGGCAGAUGUUUGGAGAUUAGGGUCCUUGGAGGUGGGAAACAGUUUGUGCUCUGCAGUGUUUUCUGGACCAGCCUCAGGGGAAAAGCAGGCCCCAGCUGAGAGCACUUAGGGGAAGUACUUGGCUGACUCUGGGUGUGAUCUGUCUUGGAUCCUCCAGUUGAGAUUUUGAGGAUUAAUAAUCCUCUUUCACAUUUAUUGUGUGUUUGCUGCAUGCCAGAAAUUUGUGGUCAGCUUGCUUGUACUUUAUUUAUUUUCCUUACACACAUCAUACCUCUGAAGCAGGUACUUUCAUUAGCUCCUUCCCAAACAUAGGACAUAGACUCAGAGAAGUUAAACUCCAUGCCCUAGGUCACCCAGCCAUCCAAAUCCUAUUCUCCUAACCAUCAUGCCACACUGCCCCUGGCCUGAAUGGCAUUAUUUAGUGAAUGGCACCCGGGUGAAAGACUGUCAACCUUCCUUUAUUUGCUUCUGGAUAAAAAACAUGUCUCUUCAAGGCAGAGUUAAGGCAACUUGGUUGUUAAAAUUCCAAAACUUGCUUCUUUACAGCUUCCAUCAACCCUGAUUCAGGCCUUUUCUUGGCAGAACAACUGCAAAAGAUACAAAAAUUAGUUUCUGUUGGACGCCUGGUGUCAUUUAUUUGCAUAUACAUAAUUCAGCCCCACCCCUGGUGGCUAAUACCCCCCAGGGGAAGCUGAAGCUGUUUUCUGAUUGCUGGUGGGGAGGCUUGUGUGUGUUGUUUUUUAAAAAUAAACUGAAACCAGAUGGAUGGGGUUUUGUUCACA